AUACGCAUCGCACAGGGAACAGAGAAGGGGGACGAGAGACGAGGAAGUCCGAUCCGUGGCCGGUGUUCAUCGACAGGGAGUAGAGCCUCACUGACCCUUCCUCGUCGGAUUCACCAUCGCCGGGGCCCUCAUCGUCAAGUUCACCGCCUCCCCGGCUGAUGAGGACGCCAAGAACUCCCGAUUCGUGCAGGAGCUCAAUCGGAGGGGAAGGGAUCUUGCCCGUCUUUGUGAAUGGCAAUGGACUAUGGAGAAGUAAUGAAUGGACGAUGGGAGAGUGGUGAUCAGUUGAUACUAUCUUAAAGGUUAUAUCAGCCAGAUUGCAACUCCUAGAGAAGUUGGGAAAUUUAAAAGGGUGUUUUGCAAAUGUGAUCAAACUAGUCCUCUCAGGUAUAUUUUCCUUUAUCUGGAGUUGAACUUUCUGACGUAUUUUUAGUUCUCAUUAAAUACCCGGCUUCCAACUUUGAUGUCAUCAGUCUGUUAGACUAACUAUAAUUUGAACAGCACUAUAUCCUUUCUUCUCUAUUUGAUACUUCACUAAUACCAAGUAUUAUGUAGACAACAGAUAUCAUUUUACUAUGUGAAUCUUGUGCACAAUAUUAAUAAAAAAGAUCACAUGAAUACUGCAUAAACAAUAACAGAGAUCGCAUAGCGGAGUGGAUAUCGCGUUAGACUCCGGAUCUAAAGGUCGUGGGUUCGAAUCCCACUGCGAUCGUUAUAGCAUCUGUUUCCCUGUUUUGUUUUUGAUUUUUUUUUGUCUUUAACCAAAUCACAAAGUAGGACCACAAACAUUUGAUGGUAAAUUUUGACGUUACAUGUGGUGCUGUCCUAGAUUUUGCCAUGCGUCAAUGUUGUAUAUUUUCAUUUGUCUUCUAACUAAAUCAUAAAGUAGGACCACAAGCAUUUGAUGGUAAAUUUUGAUGUUGCAUAUGGUGGUGCCCUAGAUUUUACCAUGCUUCCGCAUUGUUACACUGUGAUAUGUUGAAAACUCUCGGUAACUAGUUUACUGGUCUCAUUCUAACAUUAGUUUUUGUCUCUUCCAUAUGGUAGCUCUGUUUCAUCGUGUUGUUGUGGACAUGGUGAUGAGUAGAUUUUUACCAUGAUCUGAUACUAUAUGAUGAUAUUGUAUCUUCAAUUAAAUCACUGGUGGUAAAGUUUGAUGCCACAUAUGGUGUCCUAGAAUUUAUAGUUAAUUUGUUAUGUUACUUUAUGAUGAUCUGUUGAUAAACUCUGUAAUUGGUUAUAUUCAAAUAGCUGCUUUCAUCUCUUUGCAUGUGGUGACUGUUUCCUCAUGAUAUAUGUAUUCCGUGAUGUGGCACUGCACUAUGAUAGUAACUUCAGCUAAAUCACAAAGUAUAGGACCACAGGCAUUUGAUGGUAAGAUUGUGGUUGUUCAUGAUAUUACUUUGUGAUGAUAUGCUGAGAACCCUCAGUGACUAAUAUAAUGGUCUUAUUUAAAUUUUAUUUCUUGCAUAUAGGAACUCUGGUUUUUAAUGGUAGUAUGGUCAAAUGAUAGCCUACAAUUUUACCAUGAUGUGAUAUAUGAUAAUAUGGGCAGUGAUGUUGCCAGCAAACAGAAAGUAGGACGGCAAGCAGUUGCCAGCAACCAGGAAGCAGAUGGAUAUUUUUGGUCUCACUCGCAUCAGGUGGUAAUACUUGCGGAUGGUUUACAUUGGUAAAAACAGUUCAUUCUCUUGUUUUUUGUUCUUUACUGGUGCGGCAAUGCCUUUUUCAGUUUUCUUUCGUUCAUCAUUCUUCAGUUCAGCAGUGUCGACUGUGCUGUUGAUUGUUGUAGCUUUUGCUUCUCUGAGUUUUGCAGCUGAGUGGUUUUAGAGAAGAAAAGAUCCUGUCUAAACCAAUCAGAGAUGUCCAGCUAGUCGGCUAUAAAGGAAUAGAAUUAUUGGGAUGACGCAGAAGUCAACCGGUCAAUUUUAAGCCUAAGCGACAGGCGUUCGGAUUUAAUAUUUGCUACCUUUGUUUCCACUGUAACAUAGAAAAGAUUUGAGCUGGAUUGCUGAAAAAUGUACGAGUUCCGACAUUCUACAAGUUGGAUUCCACUGAAACUAGCAUACCAGUGUCUCCAGAAUUCCAAAUCAACUUUGUUUACACUGUAACAUAAAGGAACCCAUCCAAUGGUCGGAAAAGGCUGCACAUGGAUCGCCCGAUCAUUCCUAGGACGAGUUUCUUGGUGCUCACUUUGCCUUUUGAGUGCCUAUGAAGCAUGAAGUCAGAUAUAUUAUGUUGAAAGAAGUACAGAUCUGCGAAAGCAACAACCUACAUAUGCUUCAUCGGACGCAAUUCUCUCGACAGGGGGUGGAAUUCGAAGAUUGUGGCCAACAAGGUCGUAUCUUGGUACAGGAACACUCACAUUUUGCAGGAAGUUGUGGAGAGCGAAUUCCACUCUCACAGGUGGGGGAGAGUUGGAGAGCGGGCAGACAGCCAUCGCGUUCACGCCGCUGCACCAGCUGGAAACCGACGGAAGGACCGGCGCCGUCCAAUCGCCUACGCGGACGUGGGCGUGGACGUGGCCUACAUGCGGGUGGUCGAGAACGGAGCGGUACCGGUGAAUCCGCGCCAGGCCAAGAACUGGGGGCAGAUGGUGGUGCGCUGGGAGAACUACUUGGUGGAAGCCCGUCGUCCAACGUGGCGAUGCGUGGUCAUAUUUAUCGCUCUAAUGGAUUAUGGUAUUUAUCUUUGGCAAAGGUUAUCCGGAAAAAGUCCCAACGCUUUUACAGGGAGCAUUUCUUUUUUUAGUUU